rnacentral:tRNA from 1 species
UCCCUGGUGGUCCAGUGGCUAAGACUCUGUGCUCCCAAUGCAGGGGGCCUGGGUUCGAUCCCUAGACAAGGAG